GACGAACCGAGCGAACGUUGUUCGGAAUCACUGGGCUUAAAGGGCGCGUAGGCGGAUUCUCAAGUCCGGGGUGAAAUCCCACAGCUCAACUGUGGAACUGCCUCGGAUACUGGGGGUCUCGAGGGUGGCAGGGGUAUGCGGAACUAUCGGUGGAGCGGUGAAAUGCGUUGAUAUCGAUAGGAACACCUGUGGCGAAAGCGGCUCACUGGACCAUAACUGACGCUGAGGCGCGAAAGCUAGGGGAGCAAACAGG
rnacentral:rRNA from 1 species